GAGUGAUGAAGGUUUUCGGAUCGUAAAACUCUGUUGUUAGGGAAGAACAAGUACCGUUCGAAUAGGGCGGUACCUUGACGGUACCUAACCAGAAAGCCACGGCUAACUACGUGCCAGCAGCCGCGGUAAUACGUAGGUGGCAAGCGUUGUCCGGAAUUAUUGGGCGUAAAGCGCGCGCAGGCGGUUUCUUAAGUCUGAUGUGAAAGCCCCCGGCUCAACCGGGGAGGGUCAUUGGAAACUGGGGAACUUGAGUGCAGAAGAGGAGAGUGGAAUUCCACGUGUAGCGGUGAAAUGCGUAGAGAUGUGGAGGAACACCAGUGGCGAAGGCGACUCUCUGGUCUGUAACUGACGCUGAGGCGCGAAAGCGUGGGGAGCGAACAGGAUUAGAUACCCUGGUAGUCCACGCCGUAAACGAUGAGUGCUAAGUGUUAGAGGGUUUCCGCCCUUUAGUGCUGCAGCAAACGCAUUAAGCACUCCGCCUGGGGAGUACGGUCGCAAGACUGAAACUCAAAGGAAUUGACGGGGGCCCGCACAAGCGGUGGAGCAUGUGGUUUAAUUCGAAGCAACGCGAAGAACCUUACCAGGUCUUGACAUCCUCUGACAACCCUAGAGAUAGGGCUUCCCCUUC
rnacentral:rRNA from 1 species